UACGGAGGGUGCGAGCGUUGUCCGGAAUCACUGGGCGUAAAGGGCGCGUAGGCGGCGCGGUUAGUCGGCGGUGAAAGCCCGAGGCUCAACUUCGGGUCGGCCGUCGAUACUGCUGCGCUGGAGCACUGUAGAGGCAGAUGGAAUUCCGGGUGUAGCGGUGGCGAAUGCGUAGAGAGUCCGGAAGAACACCGGUGGCGAAGGCGGUCUGCUGGGCAGU
rnacentral:rRNA from 1 species